UACAGAGGGGGCAAGCGUUGUUCGGAAUUACUGGGCGUAAAGCGUGCGCAGGCGGUUUUGUAAGCCAGAUGUGAAAGCCCCGGGCUUAACCUGGGAAUGGCAUUUGGGACUGCAAGGCUGGAGUGUGGCAGAGGAGACUGGAAUUCCUGGUGUAGCAGUGAAAUGCGUAGAUAUCAGGAGGAAUACCGAUGGCGAAGGCAGGUCUCUGGGCUGACACUGACGCUCAUGCACGAAAGCGUGGGGAGCAAACAGG
rnacentral:rRNA from 1 species